GUCUUUUUGAUUAUAAUUUAAAGUCUAACCUGCCCACUGAAAUUUUUGAAGGGCCGCGGUAUUUUGACUGUGCAAAGGUAGCAUAAUCAUUAGUCUUUUAAUUGGAGGCUUGUAUGAAUGGUUGGAUGAGGUAUUAACUGUCUCAAUUUAAUAAAUAAUAGAAUUUUAUUUUUAAGUUAAAAAGCUUAAAUAAAGUUAAAAGACGAGAAGACCCUAUAGAUCUUUAUAAUUAAUUUUAUUAUAAUUUUUUAGGUUAAAUUUAUUUUUAUAAAAUUAAUUAUUUUAUUGGGGUGAUGAAAAAAUUUAUAAAACUUUUUUUGUAGAUAAACAAUUGUAUUUGGUUAAUUGAUCCAUUUUUUGUGAUUAUAAGAUUAAGUUACCUUAGGGAUAACAGCGUAAUUUUUUUGGAGAGUUCUUAUCGAUAAAAAAGAUUGCGACCUCGAUGUUGAAUUAAAGGUUAAUUUUAGGUGUAGAAGUUUAAAAUUUUGGUCUGUUCGACCAUUAAAUC
rnacentral:rRNA from 1 species